rnacentral:rRNA from 1 species
CUUGGUCAUUUAGAGGAAGUAAAAGUCGUAACAAGGUUUCCGUAGGUGAACCUGCGGAAGGAUCAUUACUGAAAUGAACCUYGAGGCUGUYGCUGGCCCAUCUGGGCAUGUGCACGUCUCUGGUCAUUACCAAUUCCACCUGUGCACACUUGUAGACACUUGGGAAUGAGAGACUUUGACCGGUCUCUUGAGGGAAUUGAACUCUGGGUGUCUAUGCCAUUUUAUCAAACACUAGUUGCAUGUUUAUAGAAUGACGAUUUGAUUGAAUAUAAAAUACAACUUUCAACAACGGAUCUCUUGGCUCUCGCAUCGAUGAAGAACGCAGCGAAAUGCGAUAAGUAAUGUGAAUUGCAGAAUUCAGUGAAUCAUCGAAUCUUUGAACGCACCUUGCGCUCCUUGGCAUUCCGAGGAGCAUGCCUGUUUGAGUGUCAUUAACAUCUCAAGACCUGUCUGCUUUUGAUAGGUAUUGGAUUUUGGGAGUUGCAGGCUGUUUCAGAUAUAGCUUGCUCUCCUUGAAUGUAUUAGUGGAGAAAAGCUGUUGAACUCCAUUGGUGUGAUAAAAUCUAUCAAUGCCAGGAGCAACGUCGAGUUGUCUCUGCUGUCUAACCCUAACUGUCUGACCCACUUGACCUCAAAUCAGGUAGGACUACCCGCUGAACUUAAGCAUAUCAAUAAGCGGAGGA